rnacentral:rRNA from 1 species
GAUGAACGCUGGCGGCGUGCCUAAUACAUGCAAGUCGAGCGAACAGAUGAGGAGCUUGCUCCUCUGACGUUAGCGGCGGACGGGUGAGUAACACGUGGAUAACCUACCUAUAAGACUGGGAUAACUUCGGGAAACCGGAGCUAAUACCGGAUAAUAUAUUGAACCGCAUGGUUCAAUAGUGAAAGACGGUUUUGCUGUCACUUAUAGAUGGAUCCGCGCCGCAUUAGCUAGUUGGUAAGGUAACGGCUUACCAAGGCAACUAUGCGUAGCCGACCUGAGAGGGGGGUCGGCCACACUGGAACGUGGACACGGACCAGGCUCCUACGGGAGGCAGCAGUAGGGAAUCUUCCGCAAUGGGCGAAAGCCUGACGGAGCAACGCCGCGUGAGUGAUGAAGGUCUUCGGAUCGUAAAACUCUGUUAUUAGGGAAGAACAAAUGUGUAAGUAACUAUGCACGUCUUGACGGUACCUAAUCAGAAAGCCACGGCUAACUACGUG